rfam:Gossypium arboreum cultivar AKA8401 contig_16387_7, whole genome shotgun sequence.
UCUGGGGGAGCGCUUUGUCCACAUCGGCAAAAAUCGGGUCCUUGAGGGCUCGUUUUGGUGACGUGGACAAAGCGCUCCCCCAGGG